AAACUUGUCCCGAGGCCCGCAAACGCCUAUCUUGGCUCCUGCCAGGGCAACCUGGCUAUGUCGGUAGACUGUCGCGUGGAAUAGGCACUUCGGACCCGGGGGGCAGUACCCCGGCGCCUCCACCACCAGCCGCCAGAUCGAACAGGGUUCGACGGCUGCUGACGGGGGCGAAAUAGGAUCGACGAGUGCAAUAAAGGCGUGGCUGCCGGUCGGUAUGAGACCACCGUGACGGCUCAUUCACACAAGUGCCAACGAUAACGAGGCGCUCGCUCUUGCUGCGUAACUGACGUCCUAACGGACUGACGUUACAAGGCUAAAGCGCGGUUGGACCCCACCGGGCAACAGAAGGGGAUUCCA
rnacentral:tmRNA from 1 species